rnacentral:lncRNA from 1 species
CCACAGGUUUCUCCCUCCUCUGUCUACUCACCAGGCCUCUCUGAGGACGCAGGAGGCGGGGUUGCCGUGGGGGAGGAGCACCCUGCAGAUGGCGCCCUGACUUUGGCAAGGAAGGGGCUCCAGGGUCACAUGGAGGUCAAAGGAGAGCGGGGCAUGGCGAGGGCUGCUCACACAGGGUCCUGGCCACCCACGGGAACUAACUGAAAGAGCAGGGGGCAUUGAGGCCCUGAAGACACAGGGAGAACGCAGGCCACCUGGGCGGAGGGGACGUUUCGCUCAUGCAGUCAUCAACAAACUUUAACUGAGGGACACAAGGGAAUCUCCAGAGAUUUAAGGAGUAAGUGCAUGAAAAGAAAGAAGGAAGGAGAGAGGACAGAGUCCCUGCACUGUCGGAACUCUCCUUGAAUAUAAGAUGACGGCUCAGAUGAAAAAAAUACCUACAAUGCAGAAUCAUGCAGGAGGUGCUAUAAAACUCUCCCAAAAUGAAGAAAAGAGAAAAAUCCUCGCCUUCGGGAGUCCACCUUGACAGCCCCAGCCCCGCACCCAGGGCCUGGCACACAAACAGCAAGCCGGGCCUCGGUGGAGUAGGUGCACCUGGGGCUGCAGGGCAGGGGGACCUGGACAGGUCUCAGAGGGGGCUGCUGAGAGGAGGGGAGGGGCUCGGUGGAAGGGUCAGUGGCCUGGCCCGGAAACCAUCCCGGAGGAGUUCCCUGGGAGCCGGAAGUCUGCAGAGCUGUCCCCAGGAGGCCACUGCAGGGGCCCCUUGCAGGCUCCACCUCCUCAGGGUUCCACCACCCCCUAAGAACACCAGAUUGAAGACCAGGCUUUCAACAUAUAGGCCUUUGGAAGAUGGCCCAGACCUAAACUAUGGCACCUGGUUUCUUACAACCACCUUUCAAACAUGGCCACUGGCAAUGACACAUAGCCUCCUGGAAAGCUGACCAGAUUGACUUCCACCCUCUGUGCUACUGACAUCAGAGGCACCGUGGGCAGAUCUGAACGUUAUCGAAGCACCGUAUUCUGGAACUUCCUGCCAAAUUUGCCUAUGGCACAUGGCUGAUUAUUUCAAGGUUGUCGUCUCUUUCCCUCUGGCUCCAGGCCAACUCCUGUACUCCCUAAACCGUGUGGCUGCCGACAGCAUGCAGAUCUGACAUCUGUCAGUCAAGCUUUGAGACAGAGAGCCAGCCAGUACUCUUCGCCUCCCACAUCCAAGUCCCUGGGGAAGAAAUUCCACCAGGCCUGCUCAUCCACAUGAAGUGCCUAGCACCAUGCCUGACAGUGAGAAGCAUGCGGCAGUGUCAGCUGGUCUUAAUACUGGAAGUGGUGAUAGGAUUUUUUAAUAUCCAUAAUAAUUACUAGGGCCUCUGUGUCGGUGUCUGCACAGCUCUGUUUUGUGGAUGACAGUGUUCUUGUGUGGAAUCAGCGGAUACUUAACAGCCACCUGGGCCUCUGUGGCCAAGCCCACUUCAGGCUUCAGAAGCUGGAACAACCAUAGCCAUAGGCAGCUAAAUAGGCUAACUCCCCACAACCUACCAGCUCCAUUUGGACAGCAUAAAUCCUGCUUGACAGCCCCCAGCUCUGAGCCCAUGACUAAGAAAUUCUCUUUUAAGUAGAAGAUAACAUGGUUGGACAGUGACUACCAUUUGCAAACAAAAAUUCGAAAGAAAAUGGGUGCCCCGAGAAGGCUGCGCCAGGAAGCACAGGAGCAGGGAGGGAGAGAAACCCUUCCAGAUCACACCCGCAAGGAUCACUCCUCCAACCAGACCCCACCUCCUAACAGCAAGGCAGCUGUGCUGCCCAUGUGGCUGAGUCACCUUCCAGAACCCCCACCUAUGAGUGCAUGAGGCCUCUGGGGGACAUUCUUGGUCUAAAUCACAAUAAUCUUCAGUACUGAAACACACACACACAAAACAAAGGGCUAGAGGUGUGACUCAGUAUUCCCUGGCUUUAAUCUCCAGUGCUGUAAAUAAAUAAGUAAAUUUUAAAAACAGAAAAUAAUAAGUAAAAUGAGGAUGUGGAGAAAUCAGAACCCUUGUGGCAGGUAGGAAUGUAAAAAUUGUACAACCGCUAUGGAAAACAGUAUGAGGGUUCCUCAGAAAUGUAAAGUAGAAUUACCGUAUUACCCAGCAACACUACUUGUAGAUAUAUACCCAAAAGAAUUGUUUGUUUAUUUUUUUUACUGGGGAUCAAACUCUGGUCCUUGCACCUGCAAGGCAGGCAGCGGAACCACUGAGCUAAAUCCCCAGCCCUAUACCCAAAAGAAUUGAAGGUAGGAUCUCCAAGGAAUAUGGGUGUAUUCAUGUUCAUAGCACCAUUGAUUAACAUAAGCCAAAAGAUGGAAGCAAUCACCAAAUGUCACUGACAGCUAAAUGGAUAAGCAAAAUACAAUGCAUGCAUACAAUGGCAUAUUAUUGUAUCAGUCUGCUCAGGCUCCCAUAAUAAAACACUAUAAACUAAAUGACUUGAACAACAUGGAUGUAUUUUCUCACAAAUAUAAACUAGAUGUCUAAGAUCAAGUCUCUGCCUGAUUCAGCUUUGGAUCAGGGUCUCGUCCUGGCUUGCAAAUAGCUGGCUGCUCCGUGUGUCCUCACAUGAUCUUUUCUUGGUGCCUGUGUGUGGAGGGACAAAAAGACAGACACAGACAGAGAGAACCAGCCCUCCAGUGUCUCUUCUUGUAAGGAGACUAACUCUAUCAGAGCAUGGCUCCACUACCCUUGUGACCUCAUUUAAAAAUGAAGGAAAUGGGCUGGGGAUUUAGCUCAGUGGCAUUGUGCCUGCCUUGCAAGUGCAAGGUCCUGAGUUCAAUCCCUGGUACCCGCCCCCAAAAACAAGGAAAUUUUGACAUCUGCUCCAAUAAGAAUGACCUCAAGGACAUAAUGCAAGGUGAAAUGAGCCAGCUACACACAAAAAAGACAAAUACUAUCUGAUCCAAUUAUAAAGUUCUUAGCAUCAUCAGGUUCAAAGAGACAGAAAGUAGAAUGCUGGUUGUCAGGGACUAAGAGGAAGAAGGGUGUGUUAGUUACCUUUCUCUCUCAUUGCUGAGACAAAAUACCUGAUACCCAAAGUUAGAAGGGAAGGGGUUUAUUUGGCUUAUAGUUUAUAGAAGUUUCAGCCCAUAAUCAGCUGACUCCAAGGAAGGGAUGACAAACAGGCAUGGCAGAACAGAAACAACAUGGCACACACAAGGCAGCAAAGGUAAUGAGAGAAAAUUACUGCUGUCUCCCUGGCCCUUUUAUUUUAUUAAAGCUACUUAGGGUGGAAAGCACUCACACCCUUAAUCCUAGUGCCCUUGAGCCUAGCAUUGCAUCAUGAAUCAAUUCCAGCUUCACACACCCUACCUAGAUCAAGCCUAUGACCACGUGAGGCUUUGGGAGACAUCCAGACCCAAACCGUAACAGAGGGAAUGAAGAAUUGUUGUGUAAUGGAGACAGAGUUUCAGUUUUGCAAAAUGAAGAGAGCUUUGGAGAUUAGUUGCUCAACAGUAUGAAUGUACUUAACACUACUGAACCAUACACUUGAAAAUGGCUAAGAUGGUAAGUUUGCUGAAAUGUGAGUUUUAUCACAAUUAAAAAUAACCAACAAACAAAGAAAUCCCCACUAGGAACACCACUCCACUCCUGCCUCCACUCCUAGAGUACUGGGGGUGAAAGGCAGGUGCUUUGAAAUAAGGAAGACCUGGCUUCACCUCUGCACCUCCCACAGCUACAAGGUAGCUGCCCAGUCUUCAAAAUGCAUCUUAUCCUUCAAAUGACUAAAUCUCAUUGAAUAUCAGGUUCCCUGCUGACUUUCUUGGGACUCUAGCAAAUUCCCAGUGGUCAGACUGCCUUGCAGUCCCUUAGCAGAUCCUCAGCAGAAGCAGAAGCUGGUAACUGGCAGCUGACCUGGGUCCUAAGUAUCUGAGUGCUGCACUGUCUGUAUUCUCCUCACCCCAUUGGCCCGUGUUUCAACAGCAUCCUACAGGGACUCCGCAUGUCUGACUUCAGAAAGAAAGAGCAGCAUGACUCCACUGCCAUUAAACUUGUCAAGAUUGUUCCCCAGAAGGUGCUCCCAGACCUAACGCUGACACCGAGGAAAGACCCUAGUUGGUUAUUUUGACACAUUCAGCCCAACUCUGCAACGGACUCAGUGACAUCCUCACUGGGCAGUUAGUUUCACAUCAGAGAAUACUUUGAUCCAUUCCAUGGGAUGCUCAAUGUGGAAUCAUUUAUCUUCCCUCUAGCUUUUAAAAAUGAGGAACUAGCCAGGUUUGGUGGUACACAAC